rnacentral:rRNA from 1 species
GUGCUUGUCUCACGGUUUAUGGGUUUAGAGAGUUUUUUCUCCGGGAACAAGAGGAGCGCUCUCUUGACCUUCGCCCCGAGGAGCAGGAUAGGUGCGCCGGACAGGUUUAGCCUGGAGGGGAAGGACGAGACGAGAACAGGAAGAAGUCGACGAAAGUCGAGCGUGGCGAGUCCUGCCGCGGACGCUGGACAAACUACCUCCGUCAUCGUGACCUUCUUUAAGUCUUGACACACCACUUCGACUCCUCGUUAGGAGUUGCCGCGUUCUUAGUUCAUAUACAACCGACACCCCGACCUAAACCCCCACUGGCCGGCUACCGACGAAACUUCAAUAACCUCUCUCAGCUUCUUGAAUUGAUGUAUCAUGAACUCACAAACCGCCUCGCUUGUGAACGUCUGGCGAUGGUUCAAUACGACAGUCCUCCCUUUCCUAAACUGGGGGCUCAAUUCCUCACCGACAGGCACGAAGAUGGGAACCGAAACCUAUCUCUUCAAACGUAUUAAUGAUUGUACCCGCGUUAGCUAGGUGGACCUCGUGUCUUUCUUUAUGACCUGGAACGAAGAUCAAACCCUGACCUCUAUUGUCAGCGACAUCGAAUACUUAGUAGCUAAAGUCCAGGUCUUUUGAGUCAUAAUAGCUUACUUAGUUACCCUCACCGUCUCCCUUCUUCGUGUAUAGAACCACGUCGGGGGUAACAUGUAACGGACCUUUGAAUGUUUGGUGUACAGUAGUAAUGAAGAGCCCAACGACUACGACGUGAUAAGAAUCGUGGAUACCAGAUGCUUAACCCAACCUUAACCUUACUGAAACUAUUCAACCGUGUUCCCUGUAACCGAUCGGUAGAAGACCUUACACCAACAGUUGAGUGACCUCCUAUAAAGUACGUAGGACCUCUACGUAUAGCUCUAAAAAGAAAACUCGUCGAAGCCCUAAACAGAGAAGGUAUACGACUUCACUCAAUGUUUCCUCUUCAAACACAACCGUUCCGUUUCCCAUCGCCUCCAGAAGACUCGAUAUCGUGAACACGUCUUGUCGAAGACAUACUUCAACCUCUGGGACGUUUGAUGUAGUGAGGACUAGACCAACAUCUAAAGUCACUGCACGUCAAGGUAGUUUAUAGUGUUCUGUUCCAAGUGACAUUUCCUCGUUUUGGUAGACUAGAAGCACCCGGGCUCUUUGAGGAGGUUAACAAAGGAUGAGGUUUACCUACCUUUCCGACCCCUCUCUAUAGUAUGCCCCCUGUUCUCACAAAUUCCGCGCGAGUCCGUCGUCUUAUGGAUCAAUCCAGUACCUACUUGCUUUCUAUAGGGCCGUAGCUUCUCUUUUAAUAGCGUAUACAAUACCCUAUACUAUCGCACUUUCGAUUACCUCCACUGUUACUGUCAGCAGUGAGAAGGUUCCUUCACUAUCUACAAUCUGAAGCCUACCUACCCGAUAAACUCGUCCUCCUCGUACGACUACCUAAGCAACUCCUCAAGUAACGUGAAAUAUGUUUACCAGGUCGGCCUCCACCACCGUAGUCGUGACCUGCUUUCUUGCUUGAUUGAGACGUCUUCAACGACUAACUAUCCCUUUUGUAGAAGACCGUUCGGUUACGCUUCUUGAGUCGGUAAGGACCAAGUGACAGAUGUUUACCGUUCUUCUUCUUAUCCAUGUGCCCUUCAAAACGCCGCCCGUAAGUUGUUGCGAACUUAUGUUUCGACCUGCUUGGUCGUGGAGGACAUAGACGAGGUCGAGGUAGACCCAGCCUCUAGCGGGACAUGGCACACCGGGUGUCGUCUCGGCCGCUGUUCCCCUUGCUAGACUUAGACAGGUAGUAGGGAGUAAAGGGUCUACUGUAACCAGCCGAGUCCUGUCACUAGUGAGGACUCACCCACUUCCCGAGAGAAAGCGGGGACGAACUAGUAAGCAGUAAAGGUCUGCUGGCUCGCUAGCUCGUAGCUUUGUUAGACGAACUCGCGCAGCGUCAACUCUAAAUGCUACAGGACCCGUAAUCGAGUAACUUGUAGCACCACUCCUUAUAGGAGCUGCCGCCGCACUUGACGAGGUCUUCCCACCUGGCCGUGCCGUUCUGAGACAGCCUAGAGUAGGACACGGCCUUUCAGUAGGACGGAGGCAUCACUGACUGUCAACUCUCUAGUGGCCGUGGGCCACAUCUCCCUCCCUACAGAUCUUAGUGGUAGAUGACAACAACGCUUUUUAUCUUUCCAACUGCACUAUUAUUCUGGACACUUGUCUUGUUAUUCCGGACAACAUACUUUGUUUGUUUGGUAUAUACAUACGACAAUUAUUAGUAAACCGUAGUAACCGGCGAAUAAACCACCACAAUAGACCACACAAAAAAUCCGAGGACACAGACAGUUAGAGCCCGCAGGCGCCAGCGUGCCUUUUUGCUUACUGACCCUUCCGAGCCGCUGUCGGAGCGUGCGUGGUCGCCAGAGAGAGCGCGCGCGCAAGCCUAUACGACGACUGUCAUUGUCGCCGAACAACGAGCAGCGGAGGAGCAGAGGUGGGGCACUCUUCAUCUUGGUUGCCGCCUCCGCCUCGACCUCGAGGUGGAGGUGGGGCAGCACGACCGCGGCGCUUUAAGUCUCGAGAGCGGCGCGGGGACGACGCCGCGAGCAGGAGGAGACGAAAGUAGACGCGAACGAGAAGACGUGGAGGAGGAUGAGGGCCGCUGUUCCUGACGCUGGCGCUCGACAAGCUACUUAUGGGUAAAGAAAGAAGUCUAUGAGGUACCCUCGGGCUCCUACAUACCUCCUGUAAACGUCGUAUGGAGGAACAGAACGUGUAAGGGAACUCGAAACCUCCUGAGCCACACCAUCGGUUUCACGAUGUAAGAAGGAGUGAUCUGGGUGACUGUUGUCAGCAAAGGUGUCGGUACGAAGUUGAUCCUCUCGAGUGAGACCCAAAUCGUGACAACGUCAUGUGACGUUUCGGACCGGCAGUUCAACCAUGGAAGAAACGACCCUUCAAGAGCAGGUCCGGGUCGACCCAUUUUCUUUGACAUAAUACCAACCCUGAAGACUACAGAUAACAAAAAGAGUGUAGAGACUAUCGACUGUCUGACUAUCCAGGGCUCCUACGUAUGCUAGGAUAUAAUUUCCUUUAGGAGAGGCUACCACCUUGGAGAUCCGAUCAGACAACCAAAGACAUGACACACUAACGAGGUAACAGUCUUCUUUAGUAAAUGGCGCCCAAAGAAGAUUGUCGGGAUAGAAGGAGCUACUUUACCUCCUUGCGACAGCAGCAUUCAAGUCAAUACAAGUCACAUCGUGUGGAGAGCCCCCCUUUAAAGAAAGUCAACAAACAGCAGCCUACGUAGUGUCCCAAUCGAAUAACGGCCUGACCUUGAAACCGACGAAGUAAAUGGUAGGUGUCGAACAUGUUACGCCACUAUAACAAAUGAUGCUACUACAGAACUUACACAAAAUCCCCUAUCAGUCCUUCCACUUAUGUCAAGUAAUUGUGAAACCGGUGUGAAAAUGGCAUUAGAAUUUUCAAACUU